ACCAAUCAAUGGAUUUGCGCGCAGCAGAGCCAUGAUCAAAUUUUUGGAUAAAUAGGAUUAUUCUGCGAGCGAAGUUCUGAAUGAGUUGGAGCUUAGGAUUGUUUUUCCUGGAGGUAUUACCCAAACAGUAGAACGAGCGCAACCUCAGUCGCCUUCCUAUGACUGAGAGCAAGUUUCAGGAUGAAUUUUGUGAUGUAAUUGCGGAUUACGCUAAACAGUCUCAUUGUGUGCCGUGAAGAAACGUGAAUUUCAAGUCACAACAGAAAAGAGAAAGCAAACACCUUAACCAAAUACUGAGACGAUCGCUUAUCGCGGAAAACAAGAACAUUUUCCAACCUAUUCAAACAGUAA
rnacentral:misc_RNA from 1 species